AACCAAGCCAUGAGGUCAAAGGCAUUGUCCGUAGAGCUCCGAGACAGGUUUGUGUCGAGGCACAGAUCUGGGGAAGGGUACCAAAAAAUGUCUGCAGCGUUGAAGGUCCCCUAGAACACAGUGGCCUCCAUCAUUCUUAAAUGGAAGAUUUGUGGAAACACCAAGAUACUUCAACUUCCAAGAGGUGACCAAGAACCCGAUGUCCACUCUGACAGAGCUCCAGAGUUCCUCUAUGGAGAUAGGAGAGCCUUCAAGAAGGACAACCAUCUCUGCAGCACAGAUGAACGUGGUACCUUCAGGCGUUUGGAAAUUGCUCCCAAGGAUGAACCAGACUUGUGGAGAUCUACAGUUUUUUUUCUGAGGUCUUGGCUGAUUUCUUUUGAUUUCCCCAUGAUGUCAAGCAAAGAGGCACUGAGUUUGAAGGCCAAGAUGUCUGACUCAUGUUAUGAUGAGUCAAGUCAGAACUGGAGCAGCAGGAAUCAUGCUCUGCCAGGACCAGGGUUGUGACUCAGAGACUCUGCUCUGUGCACCGUGGAGUCACUGUUCCACUACUCUAACCUCCACUCAGGGGUUGAAGAGAAGUGAAAAGAGCAAAGUGGACCUCGGGGUGGAAAGGAACAGACAAGCUGUUCUUAAUGGCAG
rnacentral:lncRNA from 1 species